rnacentral:rRNA from 1 species
AAUCAACGCUGGCGGCGUGCCUCAGACAUGCAAGUCGAACGCGAAAGUUUCCUUCGGGAGGCGAGUAGAGUGGCGCACGGGUGAGUAACACGUAGGUAAUCUACCUUUGGGUGGGGAAUAACAGCCGGAAACGGCUGCUAAUACCGCAUAAUGCAGCGGCUCGACAUCGAGACAGUUGUUAAAGCGGGGGAGUUCGUAAGAACCUCGCGCCUAAAGAGGAGCCUGCGGCGGAUAGCUAGUUGGUAAGGUAAUGGCUUACCAAGGCAUCGAUCCGUAGCCGGCCUGAGAGGGCGGUCGGCCACACUGACACUGACAUACGGGUCAGACUCCUACGGGAGGCAGCAGUCGGGAAUUUU